CUCGCUGCGAGAGCCCAGCCAGAGCAGCAGCAGCAGCAGCGCCCGCAGCCCCCGGCAGGGAUAUAAGCAGCCGGGAGCCGCCUUAACACAGCCCCACAGAGCUGCCCGCCCUGGAAAUACACCGGCAGGAGCCGAGCCGAGCAGGAAAGCAGCAAACACUCGCCUGGAGAGGGAACAAAACACCCCCCUCCCCCCGCCUCCCCACAACCGAAAAAGAAAAGAAAAGAGAAGACAACUCGGCACCAGUCGCGGGGCUUUUUCUUUCCUUCAUGAUCUUUUUUUUCCCCCUGAGGAUUUCUGCCAGACUGACUCGUCCCCCCCUCCCCCGAUAAUUUUCUCCCUCUUCGUUUUUUUUUUUUUUUAAAGAUAUACAACAGAUAGAUAUAGAUAUAUUUACUCUUCUCCCUGCUUCCCACCCCUGUGUCUGUGUGUUUUGAAUACUAUCGCAACCUCUGCUAAAUCUAUAGAUAGAUGUAGAUCCCCUUCCUCCUCUCUGAUCCCAUCCGACACCCCUUGUUAAGGUCAGGCUUCCUUGCAAGUGAGAAGGAGUUGUAGUGCAUGACGAUCUGAUGCCAUAGUCUUGUGAAUUCUUGGGGAAAUACAUUCAAGAGAAGAUCUUUCAGGAUACCUUCAUCCUUGUGCCAAUGCAGAAUAUAGGCAACAUUAGAAGAUUUAUGCCUUAAGGGAGAUCACAGAUUAUUGCAUCAAAAAAGAACUGGUCAUAUUGGUCUUCUCAC